UGGCUAGCAGAAGGUGUAGCUGAUCGCUUUCCCAUCCUCAAACGCUGCCACUUGAAAUUGGUGAGCCGGUACGGGUGAAUGUUUGGAAACGUUCUUUAAUGCCGGCUUUUAGAUUUCCCUGUGAUCUUAAUGAUUCAUGUGUAUUGAGUAUUUUACUUUAUCAUUAGUUCAUCCUUUUUAACUUUUGUAAAUAUAUAAAAUGCAUAGCAGGCUUGCAAAGAUUUCUAGAAUUUAUUACGCUAGUGUCAACUUUGUGUUACGUCAAUUUAAUAAACUGAUAAAAUAGUGAAAA